UCAGAUCAGCUGUGAUCAAUAUUUUUUGGAACUUGAUAAAUAACAAUAAAAGCUGUAAUGGCUCCAUUAGCAUUUUGUGUAAAUGUUUGUGUUAAAAUUAUAGCUUUAAUGAGGUCUUUCUACAUUAGUUUUAGUUAUAAAGUAUGUAUAUGUGUACAUAUAGUAUGUAUAUUUACAGUACAGUAUGUUGUGUUUGUUGACAUGUUUUCAGGUGGAAGCAGAAUUUGUGAGGAUUACUACUGCUCCACUUGUUCCAAGGCUUUUUGCACAACUUGACCAAUACACUGACCAGCUCAUAAAAGUCUUCAAGAAAAAAGGAGGCGCUGCAGUGAAGAAAAUUAGACAAAUUUUGGCCCCAGCCACAAAGAAGCAAACUAUUGAAAAGGCGAGGGAGUGUGUCCUCAGGGCACUACCUUUUUACCUGAAUGCAGACCCAAGCAUCCUCUUCAAAGAAUAAUUGCUACAGCUACAGCUGUUCAGAGGGAGCUGGAACAAAUUACCCUUGCUAUCUUUACCAUCGAAAGAGCAGAUGCCAGCACUCCUCCAGCCGAUGUGGAUAUAACCAUUUAGGGUGUUCUGCAUGACCUGGAAGACAUGGACUCUGCAUGUGCACUCUUAAUGGGUGGGAUAUAUGCACUGAAUCUCAGUUAACCUCGAGACUGAAAGCUUUCUUUGAAGUACUUCAGAAGCUCUUCCUUCAUCUGUAUGUCAGCAGACUCUUGACCAAGGUACAGAUACUCAAGAAUAAACUGAAUGAAUAAGCCAACCCUUAAUUUGGAUGAUUAAUGUUCUGUCAGAUGGACAGAAGUUUUUCGGAGGCUAAAUGGGAAUAAAACGGUAAUUU